GCAAGACUCUGUCUCAAAAUAAAAUUUUAAAAAAGAACCAGGAAUUGACUUUGUAGCCUUUUGGAGUAGAAUUUCUAACAGAUUCCAAAGUUGAUUCCUAUAGGUCUGGCACAGUGGUGCACACCUUUAAUCCCAGCCCUGUAUGAGACCCUGUCUCAAACCAAAACCAAAAUUGAUUGCUGUUACUAUAAUACUGCAUUUACUUGCACCUUUUCACUAGAGGUGCUAUGGUACACUGAAAUGGUACAGGCAAGUAAAAUACAAUUAAAACUAGGAUAAUAAGUCCAGGGAAUUAGACUUAACUAUAAUUGAGAGUUGGUUCUUUGGCUGUGGAAACUGUGUGUGUGCGUGCGCGCACGCUGCUGGGACUUGAACUCAGGUAGUGUUCAGCUACAUCCCCAGCCCAAACUGUCUUCCAGCCUACAGUCCUCCUGCCUCUGUUUCCCAGGUAGCUGGGAUUACAGAUGUGCAAUGCUAUGGGUCAGUUGGUUGUUUAAUCCUUAGAAUGGAAACUUGUAAAUUGAAAGAAUGACAUGUUCUGUGGAAGGGGUUUAUAAAUUCAGUCUGGAGAGCGUGGCUGUGGCAGCUUGUUGCCUUGGGUUUAAAGGUUGGUGUCACCACUGUGGCCCUAACAGUCUGGGCCGUCUCCCUGUCUUCCCAGCAGAGGCACAGAUCCUGUGGUCAGGUGAGGUGGGACCUGGCUGGACAGUGACAGCGCUGCUUCAUUGGCGUCUGUUCCAGCAGGUGGGCAGACUGCUGACCUCUUGGGCAGGAGUGCAGCUCUGCCAGGUAGAACAGAGAACCAGCAAGCGCCCAGCAGCACCAUGCUAGGGCAGGAGCUGCUGAGCUGAGUGUUCCUGUGACUUCCCCUUUUGGGUGUGUUUUGUUUUGCAUUUUCCUGGUCUUGUAUGGCUAAAGGAUAAGAUUGUUUCCUAAAGUCCAAUUCAUGUAUCUGAAAUAUAUUGCUAAACAAGGCAUUCUUCUCCACAGAACCUUUUGGCUCAUUGCCCCUUGUAGAAGAAAUACCUGGUAAUGUGGUUUCCUAUGUUUAUCUUCAUUUUUCUCUACUUCAUGUGAGAAUCUGUUGAUAGGAGGCUUCUGAGUUCAAAGAAAAUGAGAAAAUAGAGAUGAAUAUGUUGAAUUUCUAGUAAAGGACACCUGAAUCUCUUCUUAGUUUAAUUAGAUGAUUAGAGUUGGAGAAAGUCUCUGAACUGAUGGAAGAUUUUUUUUUUUUUGAGACAGGGUCUCACUAUGUAGUUGUCUAGCCUUAAACUCACUAUGUAGCCCAGGCUGGCCUUGAACUAGAGAUCCUUCUGCCUCAGCCUCCCAGGGUAGGGAUCACAGGCGAGUGCCACCAUGCCCAGGUAAAGACAAUUUUCUUGAUAAGAUUUUUUAAAAAUUUGUAACCUUGUCUUUGUCAUGAAGUGGACUAUUAGAACUUGCUGUGCUUGCUUCAGCAGCACAUAUACUAGACCUUGCUUAAACUAGAGAUUUUUGUUGUGUAACUGUUUUGUAGUAAUUUUUAAACCUUUGUUGUGCUGUAGAAAUGGCGUGUAUUUAUUUUAAACUUCAGUGAAUUCUGCAGUUCUAAACUUUUGCAGAAUUUUAUAUCCACCAUAAACUAUAGUGAUUUUCCAUAUUCUUUCUGCUAAGGAUCUUUCUUAUUUUAAAAACUUUUUCACAAGCUAGAAGGGUAAAUACCAAAAUUCUCUCUAGGCACUAGGAUAAGGAUAAUAUUUUCUCCUUCAUAUUUAUUAUUUUCUGAUUUUUAUACAGAGAACAUGCAUCUCAUAAAAAUGAAAAGUUAUAUUAAAAUCAGCAGACUGUUUCCUGAAGGGCUGAGAAAGCCUAAUUAAGAGGGACGGACUGCUUUAGAGUGUUUACGUCAGAGUGGCGUGGCAUUCUGUGUGAUGAGGCGCCGACUUUGUCCCUGCUGUACAGGAAAUGGACUUGUUCUCAGAGCAGCUUUGCCCCUGUGGUGUGGAAAGUGGCAUGGGUGAGAGGGCUUUCCUUCUACUCCUCCCCCUACCUCCUGUGAGUCAUAAGCAUGCCAAGUUGGGAAUAGAAUUUGUCAGCUGAGUGGGGAUGAGACAGUUCUCUGCACAUGUUUGCACCUGUGGCGAAUAAGAAGAGAGGACUUUAAAUGCUGGAAAAACACCGUCACCAAGGCAUCUUCUUCAGGGCCCUGUGUUUGGUUGCAGAGUUCUGUGUGGUCACUGGCCAAUAGGUUGUGGCUCUGAAUCACUUAGGAAGCUGCUCUGCCGUUUGUUCUUUUUUUUUCCCCCGAUACUGGGGAUCGAACUCAGGACCUUACACUUGUGAGGCAGGUGCAGUGCCACUGAGCUAAAUCCACAGCUCUGUAGUUUGUCCGUUCUUGGCAUUGAAUAAUAUGUGUGUUGGGCCUGGGGCCUGGUACUGAGUCUCUCAUGGGUCCUCCACACUUGAUGACUUUCUAAAACUGUUGAGUGAGGCUUUAUACAGUACAGGUUCACUUCUUGUCAGUUCUUAGUGCCAUCUCAUUUUAUUGUCCUAAUUUUUUCCGUUUAUGCUGUUAAUCAUUUUACACCCUAUAUAGGGGCUGCCAUUGAAGAUCAAAAUAAAUGGCAAUUCUGUCAUGGUGGCGCAUGCUGGUGAUUCCAGCACUUGGGAGGCUGUGGCAGAGAAUCACUGCAAGUUCUAGGUCUGCCUGGGGUACAUAGUGAGUUCAAGGCCAGCCUGAACUGCACAGUGAGACCUUGUCCUAAACAACAACAACAAAAUAAAAUAAAUGGUAGCUCUUUUGUUCUUGACCUUUUUUAGAAUUUAUAAUUUCCCUGGCCUCAUUUUAUUAGUUUGUAUUUCCAUUGUGUCUAUUUUGAAAACUUUUUUUUUGGUACUGGAGAUCGAGUGCAACAUAUUUUGAAAACUUUUGCGAAUCUUUUUUGGUGUCCUGAGGGGAAUCAAUAAAUGUUUAUAAGUACAUAAAUAUUUUCGUUGCCAAGUGGUUCAGUAUUUCCUAACAAAGAGCACUUGAUGCUUGUACUGGACCCUGACAGGCCCACCUGGAGGCUUAUCAGUCAGCUCCUUCCUGGCUUCUCAUCUACUCCUUUACCCUUCUCUGAUGGGAAAUAUUCUGUAUCACCUCAGGUACCCUGUUAGAUAACAGUUGUCUCAUCAAGGAGUAAAACUUGCUGGAUAUGGAUAAUGGUGCAUGCCUGCAGUCCCAGCACUGUGGGAGGCUGAGGCAGGAAGAUGGCAAGUUCAAGCCCAGCCUGGAGAAUUUAGCAAAUUAGCAAGGCCCUCUCAAGAUAAAAAAGGGCAAGGGAUGUAGCUUAGCACAAAGGCCCUGGGGACAAUCCUCAGUACUGUGCAAAAAAAAUAGAAAAAGAGAAGACUUUUGCAGAACUCAUCCUCUCCUCCAUGGACCUCAAGCUUAGUGCCUGAAAUUACAAGAAUACUGUUUUUUAAAUGAGGAAAAAGCGAUAUAAAGAAGUUUAAGAAUUUGCCCAAAGUUACCUGGCUAGUGAGCGGCAAAACUGGGACUAGAAAGCAGAGUUCCCUUAUCUCGGAAAUGGGAGUGAAAAUGCCGAAGAAUCUCCCUUGAGCACUCAGAAAAAAAUUAUAAAGUUAUUUCCAGAAGGUUAUGUAUGAUAAUGACUCUUCAGAGACAUCAAAAUUGUAAGGUAAUUUUAAAACUAACUCUGACAGUGUUUUAGAAAAAAGCUAGUCCCAUUCUGCCUACAUGGUGCUAACAUAUGGCACAGACCUCAUGAGCUACAUGAGUGGGUUGAAAUCAAGAUGCAGUUGGAGAGGAGCACAGUGACUCACUAGAUGAGACAGAUUUGGCCUUCUGGCAGGGCAGUGAGUCUGAGGCGGGAUUGGUGGCCGUGGAACAUGGCAGAUGUGAGCAGUUGAUACAAGACUAUUACGAAAAAGUCUGAGCCCUGGUGUUUAGAUGAGGUGCUCUAUCUGAUGUCACAGUCUCUCUGUGGCUUUAGAGCUCCCACCUCUUCCACAUCUGAAAUUAGGUUCAAACUCUGGAGAUGGGUAGAAGCCAUCUCUGCCCAGAGUACAUCACACACUGGCUUAGCUGCCAUAUGUAAGUUGCUGCUGCUACAUCCAAAAAUUUGUUGCCCAGUGUGGGCAGUGCUGCUGUGGGAAGGAAACAGAAAGGAGCUGUGAAAGAAUGAGAUUCCUUUCCUUUUCCUCUCUCCCAAUCCUCAGAGCAGUAGAGCGCUAUAUCAAGAGCACAAAGGGACUGGUUAAUGGAUUUUGAGAAUGAUUUUGAGAGUGUGAGGGGUUUUUUUUUUGUUGUUGUUGUUGUUUUAAAGUCUCACCAUGUAGUUCAGGUUGGCCUUGAACUCACUAUGUAGCUAGCCUAGGCUGGCCUUGAGUUUGGGGCAGACCUUCUGUCUCACUUCCCAAGCGCUGAGAUUACAGACGUGCACAACCACACUGGCAGGAAGUGGGAAAACAGAUUUUUAAAAAUGUGUUUUUCAAUCCCUGUCUGCUUCGUCUGAGUACCUCCAAAAUGGGGUGCCUGUCAGGUGAGAUGACCUCUUUGUUGUUGCUGUCUCCAUUUUUUUAAGACAGAGUCUCACCAUGUAGUGCAGGCUGACCUUGAACUCGAGACACUCCUAUCUCAGUCUUCUGAGUACAGGGAUUACAGGGGUGCACCACCAUGCCUGGCAUAACCUCUUGUUUAGAUACAUGUAUGAUAGUCAUGGAAAUAUCAUAUAACAAAACGACAAUCCAGGGAGGAAGAAGAAUAAAGAGCUUAGCUCACCAUCAUCAUUCAGCUUUAGUGUGUAGCACUGCUUUUGUGCCAUUUCAGAAGAUUUAAUAAUUAUGUUGCCUUUGUGAAGUCAGUGUAGUUAUUGGUUGUAACGUACAGGUAAAGAUGCUAUUGGCAAGUCAAGCUUUAAUCCAUUUUCAGCUCUGAUCCUUAGAGUUAGCUGCUUAUACGAAAAUGUUUAUGAAGUGAAAAAGGUCAGUUGUGCAGUAAUAAACACAGUGUGAUACUACAUUUGCUAAUAUUACGUAUUUGAGUAUGUGUAGAUCUUAAUACAUGUGUAGAGAAAUUCUGAUUGGAAAUAACACAAAAUGUGGUUCUGUAUAAAAACAAAUAAAUAAAAAAUUUAAAUUGAUGAAGGACAAAAUGAAUAAGUACAACUGCUGUUUAAAAAAGAAAAGUGGGGACUGCACAUGAUGUUUUUUAUCAAAAUGUCUACAAUUUCAAGGAGAGUAAAAACCAGAAAGUGCAGAUAUUUAUGCUCGGAUAUGUCUCAUUUUUUAAAAAUGUUCAUUUGGUGCAGUGGUGAGUGCUUGUAGCUACCCAGAAGGCUAAGGUGGAAGGAAGGCUCAUUUGUGCCCAGGAGUUAGAGGCCAGCCUAGGAAACAUGGUGAGAUGCUGUCUCAAAAGAAAAGAAAAGCUGUGUAUGUGUAUGUGUAUACAUAUAUGUGUGUGUGUGUGUGUGUGUGUAUGUACAUGUAUGCUUUUUUUUUAAGGGAGAGAAAAAGUUCAUGACAUGGAAGCUUUGUAGAGCAGAUAAUAAACUAAGGGACUUAGAUUAACAAUUGAAGGUCUAAUACCUGUUAUACAUAUACAGAUACAAAUACAGAAGAGGAUAGACUUGUUGCUAACAUGUAUAAUUUACAAAGUGGUAAUAAUUGGCAGCAUAGUUCAUUAACAAAAAUUGAAAACUAUUGUUAAAUUCUCCCAAGUAUAUUGCAUAUACAGUAGGGGUUGAAGCAGAAAACUGCUUAAAAAUCUGUUCAGAGAAAAUAUAAUAAUAGAUAACUUAGUGAUAGUGUAAUCUACUUCUAUCCUCUAAGGAUAGGAGAGAGUCAGAGAGAACCAUUCCAACAGUGCUGAGCCCCUGAGAGAAUUUGAUGAAAGUUAGGAAAGCUUAGUGUUCAUCUUCCCAUGGUUUAGCAUAAAGCAGAAUAGAGCUAAUAGCCCUCCUCUGACUUCAGAGAGAUCUGGGGCCACUGGAUUAAGAAUUCUGAUGAAGCUAGUUUUUAAAAAUUGCUUUUUAUAUUGCACAACAAUGUGAAUAUACUUAAUAUUAUUAAACUAUACGCUUAAAAGUGGUUAUGGUGGUUAAAUUUUAUCUUUCACAUGUAAAUUUCUUCUUCAUGUAAAUUUCUUUCUCCUCUACCUCCAUUUCUUUUCUUUUCUUUUUUGGUACCACAAUUAAUAAAAAGCUGAGAAGAAAAUUGUUGCCACUCCAGAAAGGAUGAGCUUACUGGCCAGUGUGGAGAAGGAGAUGAGAUUAGAUCUGUUGAUAAACUUCCCCACCAGGGUCAUGGAGAGGACACACAUAGAUGGCCAUUAGUCACUAAGGAGUCAGAAGGCUCAAACCGAGGCUUGAAUCGUGGCAUUAGACUAGCUGAGUAGCAGGAGAGCACACGUCAUAAGGAAAGGAAAGGGUCCCUUGGGCUAGCCAGGGCAGCUUCCCAGCUAGUACUUUGAUCUGCUUACUUGGCUUUCUAGAGCAUAACAAUAGUGAACAUGCUUUCCACAGCAAAGAGCCCACUUGUUUUAUUAAGCUGCCACAUAGAAGGGAAGAGACAGAAGUAAAGGAAUUACAACCCGACUAAAAGAUAAAGCACACUUUUCCCAAAUGACAUCUAUUACCCUUUGCGCCCUCUCUCUGUCUCUGUCUCUCUCUGUCUCUCUCUCUCUCAUGCUCGUCCCCCCCCCCCUUUUGGUACUGGGGAUCGAACUCAGGACCUUGCACUUGCAAGGCAGGCGGCAGCACCACUGAGCUAAGUCCCUAGCCUAUUUCUUAUCUCUUUCCUCUUCCAGUUAAAAGUUUUGUAUUGGCUUGAUUAUAUUCUGGGCAUCUACUUACUCCCUUAGCCCUUUUAAGAUACAUAAUUGAGGUUUUUUUACAGGUAAGGAAGCUGACACCUAGAGGAACAAAUUAACUUCUUGUAAGUCACACCUCUACCAGGUAGCAGCAGGAGUUCUCACUGCCCUUAAUCAUGUUUCUGGAAGAGUCUCUUGUGACAGUUGAGACCUUGGGCAUUUACCUGUGUACUUCUAAGAUUUGCCUUGGAAGGACAGCCAGAUUAAACUUCCUGCCCUUCGGCAUUUAUACAGUCUUUUCGGUUAUUUAUGUGCAUGAACGUCCUUGGAGAUGCGUUUUAUUUGUUUAUGUUUUGAACCGAGGGCCUCAUCCAUGCUAGAUGCACACUCUGCCACUGAGCUACAACCCCCCUGAUAAUUUUUAACCUAAAGCAGCCUUUCACUGAGUGGCCCAACUGCCCGGCUUUAUCUGCCAGCUCCUUUCAUUUUCCAGAUCCUGUGAUCUUGAGGGAAUUAGGCCAUCUCUUUGUGUUGGAGAUCGGGUGGAUAUAAGAAUGAAAUAUAAAGCAUCCAGAACAGGACAGGGGAUAGAGUGAGUGCUCAGAGACUGCUAGCUCCUGUUUAUUGCCUAUUUGGAAAUAACUGGACAUGUCUCCCACCUUCACUUGGUAAGGAUGUAGAAACUUUAGAUACCAUGUGUAGUUAUUACCAUUAAUAUUCAUUAAUGUAAAGAUAGAGAAAUGUGCUGCUCAACAACCAUUCAUUUCAAAGCUGAAUAUAAAAUUGGUGAAUGCUCUAUUUGUUUUGAAUUAUCCAUGUUUUCACAUUUUUCAGGAGACCUGGUAGCCUAGGAACCAGAAGAAACAAACGGUUGUUGCCUGCCUCACUUCCAUGUUUAGGGGAAGAACACUUCAGGUUUUAAAAACUUCUAAACUAUAUAGUUGUCAGGUUCUUCAUUACCUCCUGUCUUAAUCAGAAAAGUUUUUCAAGGAAUUAUUCAUAGCACUUACUAGCAGUAGAGAGACUUGCUGAGGAGGCCAAGGCCUCUCUGGAGUUUGUGACCCAGUGCCUGCUGUGCAAGAGCUGCUGCUGGUGACUAAGUCAGGGGCCAUCUCCCUGGAAGGACUGAGUUUUGUCAUAUACUAAGCUUAUAACUAUAUAGAUUAGCAAAAGCCAGGAAGCUGGGCAUGGAGACACAUGCCCAUAAUCCCAGUAUUUUGGGAGGCUGACAUAGGAUUGCAAAUUCAGGCCCAGCCUGGACAAUUUAGGGAUUUCAAUCCUGUUUAAAGAAAAGAAAAGGAAAAAGCUGAGGAUGAUGAUUGCCCACCUAUAAUCCCAGCAUUUGGAAGGCUGAGGCAGGAGGAUUGCCUUGAGUUGGAGGCCAUCUAGGCUACAAUACAUAGUGAGUUCAAGGCCAGCCUGAAAUACAUAGCAAGACAAUGUCUGGAAAGUAAAAUAAAAUCAAACAACAAAACACAACUGAGAAAGGGUUAAUUACCUUACCUCCUCUAAGGAAAGCAUAUCUGAGAGCUUUUGUAUUGAGUGCAAUUUAAAACUUCAUUUAAGGUCUUACUUUAAACCUGUUAACAUUUAUUACAAGCAAACAAUGCUGUUGUUAACCCUGGGCAAGCUUUCCUGUCAGCCCUCUCCCUGCCUUUUGGUGAUCUCCCCUUUCCCCUCUUGGCCUGGCCCCCCUGAGUGACAAAGAGAGGUGGAGAUGAUGUUCAUAGGAACAGGAGUGGGGGGGGGCACACGGAAAUACAAUGCAAACACCAUCCAGGCUUCACAGAGCGGUGCACUUUUGUUUCCCAGAGAAAUAAAAGAUGUAAAAAAUUCAGACCUAAAAAUGUUCAUUUCCAUCCAGGUUGGCCUCGAACUCACUGUGAUCCUCCUGCCUCAGCCUCCUGAGUACUGGAAUUACUGGUGUUCAGCACCAUGCUUGGCCCCUUUUCGUUCUAGAAAUUUUGGGGGGGAGUGCUGGAGAUUGAACUGAUGGGCUUGAGCGUGCAUAUGCUGAGCAUGUGCUGUGCCACUGAGCUACUUCCCAGCUCCCUCCGAGUAAACUUUCCAUGCAGUAUGCAAAUCUAAGUCAAUAGUUUUAGGCUUUUUUGUGUGUGCAUGUGGAGCUGCACAUUGAAUCCAGGGCAUUGUGCAUUUUAGGCACAUCAUUCUACCACUGAACUGUAUCUCCAGCCUUUUUAAUUUGGGGCGGGUAGCAGAGAUUGAACUCGGGACCUUGGGUUUGCAAGACAGGCGGCAGAACCACUGAGCUAAAUCCCUGGCCUCUUAAAUUUUAUUUUGAGAUAGGGUCUCACUAAGUUACCCAGGCAGGACUCAAAUUUGCGAUUUUCCUGUCUCAGCCUGCCAACUAGCUGGGAUUACAGGCACACCACUGUUCCAGUCUAGUUUUUUUGUUAGUAUAGAUUUUGCCUUAAACUCAAGUGUCAUGCUUUAUUAUCAAAAUUCGAAACAUAAUUCAGUCCAUAUGAAAAGCCAAUUAAAUAUUUUUGUGUGUGUGAGAUACAGGGGAUUUAACCCUGGGCUGCAUCCCCAGCCCUUUUUUACUUCAACACAGGGUCUCACUAAGUUGCUAAAUUGCCUAUGUUGGACUCAAACUUGUGAUCGAUCCUCCUUCCACAUCUUCCCAAACCAAUUAAACACAUCCACACCUACUUUUUUUUUUUGGUACCGGGGAUCCAACUCAGGACUUUUUGCUUGCGAGGCAGGCGCCGGAACCACUGAGCUAAAUCCUCAGCCCUACACCUACUUUAUUGAGAAGCACCUUGGUCUUCAGGGCGUGUGGGUUGGUCCACAGUUCCUUUGGGUCUUGUCUGGUGGUGCACUUCAGAGCUCUGACACUUCCCAGCUUAGGGGUCGCCCUGAGUGAAUGGAGCAUUUGUGUCUCUGGCUAGAGCCAGGCAGAGAGAGGUACAGCUGGUUGAGCUGUAAAUGGAAGUUUAUAGGAAUUGGAGCAGCUUCAUAGAAUCAGUCUUUACUUGCAAGACUGUUCAGUAAUGUUUAAAAAUAAAACGAAUUGGUUUUGUGGGUCGUCUCUUUGCUUUUACCUUCAAUUAACUUCCUCAUUUUCUGAUUCUUUUGGUUUUGGUGGUUUACCACGAUCCCAGGGCCAAGAUGCAUUUACAGAGGCAGGAACUUGGUUGCCUUUGAAGAGUUUCAAACCCUGCACCUACAUGUUCUCUGCUCUGGGGAGAUCGUGUGGAGAAUGGCACUUUAAGAAUGUAAUCCUGAUUGUUAAAAGAAUUACACACCUUUUGGCGUUUUUAUAACUGUCCCAAAGCACAUGUUAAAAAUGAUUGUUUUGGGCCAGGGAUUUAGCUCAGUGGUGCUGGUGCCUGCCUGGCAAGUGCAAGGUCUGGAGUUCGAUCCCCAGUACCCGGAAAAAAAAGAUUAUUUUGAUGACCCAGAUGUACAGAAUUCACCCUCAUAAAUCUUAGUCAUUGUUCUGCUAUUUGGUGAGACAUUUAGGGGAAAGCACCCCCCCCCCCAACCCAACCCAGGGC
rnacentral:lncRNA from 1 species